AUGUUCUCUUAGGCAACACAUAUACUAAAAUUAGAACACUACAGAGAAGAUUAGCAUGGCAAUACAGAAGAUUAGAUGGCACACAAAUUGAUGAAGUGUCCCAUGUUAAA